rnacentral:rRNA from 1 species
UACGUAGGGUGCAAGCGUUGUCCGGAAUUAUUGGGCGUAAAGAGCUCGUAGGCGGUCUGUCACGUCGGCUGUGAAAUCCCGAGGCUCAACCUCGGGUCUGCAGUCGAUACGGGCAAACUAGAGUAUUGCAGGGGAGACUGGAAUUCCUGGUGUAGCGGUGGAAUGCGCAGAUAUCAGGAGGAACACCGGUGGCGAAGGCGGGUCUCUGGGCAAUAACUGACGCUGAGGAGCGAAAGCGUGGGGAGCGAACAGG